rnacentral:rRNA from 1 species
UACGGAGGGUGCAAGCGUUGUCCGGAAUCACUGGGCGUAAAGGGCGCGUAGGCGGCUCAUGAAGGCUGUGGUGAAAGUCCGGGGCUCAACCUCGGAUCGGCCGUGGCGACUCGUGGGCUGGAGCACUGUAGAGGCGGGUGGAAUUCCGGGUGUAGCGGUGGAAUGCGUAGAGAUCCGGAAGAACACCAGUGGCGAAGGCGGCCCGCUGGGCAGUGGCUGACGCUGAGGCGCGACAGCGUGGGGAGCAACAGGA